UACGGAGGGGGCAAGCGUUGUCCGGAAUUAUUGGGCGUAAAGCGCGCGCAGGCGGCUGUUUAAGUCGGGUGUAUAAGAUCGGAGCUCAACUCCGAGUCGCAUCCGAAACUGGGCAGCUUGAGUGUAGGAGAGGAAAGUGGAAUUCCACGUGUAGCGGUGAAAUGCUUAGAGAUGUGGAGGAACACCAGUGGCGAAGGCGACUUUCUGGCCUAUAACUGCCGCUGAGGCGCGAAAGCGUGGGGAGCAAACAGG
rnacentral:rRNA from 1 species